UACGUAGGGUGCAAGCGUUGUCCGGAAUUACUGGGCGUAAAGCGCGUGUAGGCGGCAACGCAAGUCGGGCGUGAAAUCCCACGGCUCAACCGUGGAAGUGCACUCGAAACUGCGUAGCUAGAGUCCUGGAGAGGAAGGUGGAAUGCUUGGUGUAGAGGUGAAAUUCGUAGAUAUCAAGCGGAACACCGGUGGCGAAGGCGGCCUUCUGGACAGUGACUGACGCUGAGACGCGAAAGCGUGGGGAGCAAACAGG
rnacentral:rRNA from 1 species